UGCCGAACACAAACAAAAAAAACCUGUAGUCUUCCUGCUUAAUUGUAAACCUAACUAUUCUUCUCUCUUUCAAUCCUAAUUCUACAAAGACACUUAUGGAACUGUUGAUUCCUAACUCAGAUCUUCGUAUUUCUCGCAGUAAUUUUAAAAUGAGGACUAUCAUUUUGUAAUUCAGAUUUUUGCUCCUCUUUGAAGUUAUUUCGAAUUGAGGUACAUCAAUUUCAAAUUCAGAUCUUUGUCCUUAUCAUAUUCAAAUUCGAAUUGAGUGUUAGUUUUUCGAAGGAGCUGCUGUGAGUGCUGACUUCGUUGGGCUCGUUCUCCUUCGUUAGAGAAGCUUUUUAGGUGAUUAUUUUUUUGAAUAUGGGAUUCUUAAAUUGUUUUACAAGUGCGUGAGAGCUUUAAAAUCCUUUACUUUAUUUCAUUAUAAAGAAACUAUUGCUGGAAAGGUGGGUCUAGGCUCACAUGCGGCUAGUGGUGUCAAGGAAUACAUGGGAGAAUGUCCAGGAAGGAAUAUUGGGUCAAUUGCUUCCUUCCCAUGAAUUCAAAAUUCUUAAAAAGCUUGUUUGAUGGUUCAAUCUUCAAUUCUGAGGCAGAUACACGAGACUGCUUAUUCAAAGGUCCUGUUAUGGAUGGAAUAAGUUUAAUGAAGAUAUGGAAUUUGAACAAGUUAUCUGGCAUUACCAGAGUGAUUAACUGUUAAGGAGUAGUGAGUUGGCCAUUGAAAGAUAAUAUUCUUGAUGCUUCAAUACCAGGAAUUAUUUCAGGCCAAAUCAGGCCCAAUGAUGUCGAAUUCCUUGGAAAGGUUGUUGGUGAUACCCGGCAAGGAGAUUGUGCAGUUUAUGCUUUCAAUUCUGGUAAACUUGUCAUUUAAACUUAGCAGUCUAGCAUACCCUAAUAAACCUUCCUGAUAUGUUCAAGUAGUUGCUUGACUACUAAUAAUUCUCCGAAUUACAUGAUGCACUACUAAAACCAUCACCAAAAUUCCAAAUAAUGGAAAAGUGGAAGUGUCACUAGGCGUUCUGACAUGUGAAUUAUAUACAAUCUCUCCUAUCAAGAUAACCUUCAAGGGCAGUUGCUUCCACUCUAAAGUUUCCCUUCUUCCUCCAUUCAUGAUGAACUUUGCUUUAUGCCCUCUUGCAAACAUAUUAAGGAGCAACUAAAUUGGAGAUUGAUUGAAGAUUUUUUGAGAAGAAAAAGAGCAGAUUUGUUCCACUACAACUAGUCACGAAUUAAGUAUGAGUUGGAAUAUUAUCUGUUGUAAUAGAAAACUCAUUACUAUGAGAUUGUACAUAUACUAUAACAUACCUAUAUGAAAUAAAAAGAAGUUUGGCCCAAUUUGUUUGGUAUAUAUACAUAUUUUGG